AACACGAAUCCAUUUAUAUGGAAGAUGCAAUGGCUACAGGUUAAACAUGGCUCUACUACAUGUAUGGUGGAACACGGUGAAACACUGUCUUUUUUAUAGAAGCCUAGAUUUUCAUUAUCAGUCUUUCAAGUUAACAUAAAUGACUAAGAGUAUUAUUUAUACAAUUUGAGACCCAUUUCAAUGAUGUGAAGCUUUAUAGUUGUUCCUUACAAAUUAUCAAAGAGGAAGAGAUGUUGCAUUUAAUUUUUUUCAUAGGAUUCCAAGGUAGUAUUAGUAUGUCUUUGCACAUUUUCUCUUUUAUAGUUGCAGAUGCCAUUCAAUGAUUUUAUAGAACUGACUUUUAUAUUAUAAUCCAAUUAAUUUUUCAAAAACGUGUCUAAGACUGCAUCUGGAAAAAGAAAUAAGGACAAACAUUUAUGGAUUUUUACAUUAUAUUCCCAAGAACUAUGCUAAAUACUUCAUUUCAUUCACUUGAUCAUCACAAUAAUCUCAUGAAGUAACUACUAAAUUUCCAUUUUAUGUGUACGGAAAUUGGUAUCAUUUGUAACCUUUCAAGUAAUGGAAAAAUAUCUGGAUUGGAAGGCAGCUGGAGUAAAACUGCUCAAUCCUGAGAUAUACCAGUCCUGGGAGAUAUCUAGUGCAGAUGGAAGAGAUCAAAACAUUGCUCCCUGAGGAAGCACCACGUGCCACAGCAUCUACUGUAAUAAAACCAGAGUAUAGGACAUAUUAAAAAUGAGCCAGUGGCACAUGUCUGCAAUCCCAACACUUGGGAGGCUGAAGCAGGAGGAUCACCGUGAGUUUGAGGCCAGCCUGAACUACACAGCAAGCCCUUGUCUCAAAAAAAAACCUCAAAUAGAUAGACAGACAGACAGACAGAUAGAUGGAUGACAUAUUCUGACAAAGUCUUGCUGUGUAGUCCAGGCUGGUAUUGAGCUGAACCUUUUGGCUUGUCAAAUUAAUCAAAAGGAAGGACCACGCAUGCUGCAGGGGAUGGAAAGGGACUGGAAAAUCAUAAACUGGGCUUUGGGCUCUCACUACACAGGCAAAGGUAAUCUUGGUAUGUCUUCAGGAUCUCUUGCAAAAAAGAAAAAAAUUCUGAGGACCAUUUGUCUGUUUAGAGCUGUCCUGUCUGAUACAGUAGUUCCUAGCUAUAUGUGGCUACUGAGCACUUCAAAUGAGACUGACUAAGAUUGAGAUUUUCUAUAAGUUUAAAACACAUUGUUGGGAGGCUGAAGCAGGAGGAUUGGUGAGUUCAAGGUCAGCCUAGGGUACCUAGUGAGUUCAAGGCCAGUCUGAACUACAUAGCAAGACCCUGUCUCAAAAAACCAAAAAGAAAAAACACACACACACACGUUGGAUUUCCAAGACUUAGUACAAACAAAAAAUGAGAUGUAUCCGAGAGCUUGUUUGGAGGUUCUAGCAGGGGAGCGCAGCUACUCAUAUACCCUUGAGGGAGGAAAUGGUGCUGCUCCAUCCAGCAUGGUCAGGCUCUUUGACCAGGUGCACAGCUUCGGGAGGGACGCACAUGGAGCAGUGAGGGAAAAAGGGGACACCCGCCUAGCCAGCCAGAUCACUCUCACAUCCAUGAGAUGCAUCUCAAUAAUUCCUAUACUAAAUACAUGUUAGAUUAAACAAAUUAUUGUAUUUAUUUCUUUCUUAUAUUUUUUAAUGUGGCCAUUAGAUUUCAUGUUGCCUUUGUGGACUGGAUCAUAUUUUUAUUAGAACCUGACUUGUACCGAAAAAAGACUUGUCCUACAGCUGUAUUAUCAUUGAAAUAUUGUUUCAAAAUGUUCAUAGGAUGUCAGAGAAAGUUAUCUCUAAGGAUUUCUGUGAUGGUUUGGAUGAUUUUAUCUUCCAAGGGGCCAUGUGUUUGAAGGUGGGUGACAGUGUUGGGGGAUGAUACGAAACCUUUAAGAGUGGGAAGUCCACUAGGUCAUUGGCACUGUGUCUCCAGAAAGAAUUAAAGUAGUUGUCCUGUGACCCUGAGUUCUCACAAAAGGGUGGCUAUACAGGAACACACCUGCCACUCCCCAGCCUUUCUGACUUCCUGUCAGCCAGUGUGAUCUCUCUCUCUCUCUCUCUCUCUCUCCCUCCCUCGUGCAUGCUUCUGCCACUACGAUACCAUCCACCAUGAUUGCCAGAGCUGAGCUUAUAAUGAUGCCAUGCCCUUGAAUCUCCACAUGUGUAAACUAAGUGAGCCUCUCUUUGAGUUACCCAGCCUCAAAUGUAUAGCAAUGGAAAAUGGAUUUAUACAGUUUGCUGAAAGAAGAGUGUGGCAAAUCUGGUUCAAAUACAUUACUGCGGGUCCUUUCCAAAGUCUUUUUCCCAACAUCUAUGAAAUAUGAAUAUUGACUGUCUCCUGGGUGACUUGUGUGGAGAGAGUCUCUUUCAGCCAUACCUCUGAGACCUACGGCCAUUGCUAACCCUAGACUGAUGAAGUGAUUUACUACCAUUACCCUUAGAAAGCACCUCUUGUUUUUUCACAUCCACAACAGGAAAUACUUCUGGGUUGGUCUCAUUUAUAACAGCUGGUCAGCAUAAUGUUCUCGAAGAAGCUCGUGUUUCUCAAAGAUUACUGAAACUGUGUCAUUCUCUCAUAACUGAAUAAGUUUUUUGACUCUGCCAAGAGUAUUGAAUUGAUUAAAGUGAUUAGGUGCUUUCUCAUUAUCAUCUAUCUUUAGCUUUCUUUUAGCAGUGAUUGAUCUACACUUUGCAAUUGAAAGUUCAAUGUUUUCUGUGUAGAAGGAAGAAGGAAUUAAGGAGUUCUGCACUGUUAGUCUAUUAAUAUUUUAUCAUGAAUUGUCAGCAGUGAGUAUAUCUCUUUCUUGUUCUUUUAUUCUGAAUAUAUUAUAUGUUUAUAUGUAUGUGUACAUACUCAUAUCUGCAAACACAUUUAUGAUAUACAUGUAUACUCAUGUACAUAUAUACAUCUAUAAAUACAUAUUAUGGGUAAAUAUAUAUUUAAAUGCAUAUGUGUUCAUAUACAGUCUUCUUUCUUGAAAUAUUACAUACAUGUAGAUAGAUAGCUAGAUAUCAAUUUUGAUGUCUGUGACAGCUAAUCUUGAUUGUCAGUUUGAUUAGCUUAAGAGAUGCCUAGGAGAUUCGUAAAGCACACUUCUGGAUGGAUGAGUCAUGCAUGAAACUAUGGCCCUGGAGACUAUCUCUGGUACCCAGCCCCUUCCUCUCUAUCUAGUGCCCUUUCCUCACAUUCUGUUUCCCGACCGCCAUGAAGUAAGGAAGUGCCUUUCCUCCUCCAUUCCUUCCCACGCAAUGUCUCUGCCUUGCAGCCAGCACUUUGGACUGGAACCUGUGAAAGGAUGAGCCAAAAUAAACACCUUCCUUCCAUUUAGUUGGGCAUGUUGGAUAUUUUGUCCCAGCAAUGAGAAAGCUGACCAUACAAUGACCUUAGCAUUUCCAUCAAAUCUCAACUCAUUCCAGAUUUCAGAUUCCUGGAAACAAACCUGCCUUAAUGGAGCCAAGCGAUCAUUUCUCUUCUUUGCACCCCCCAAAAGAAUCCAAUAAUCAAACGCUAUUGAAAGAAGCUUUCAGCAACUGGAACAGAGUGGGAUCUCCAUAGAUGCGGCUAUUAGACAGCUGUGCCUUGGUACUCAAAUGCUUUGAAACUUGUUGAAUUUGGUACUGGAUGUAUUUGAAUGUGAAAUGUUGUCCCUCACAGUUAAUUUGGUACCAACCUGCAAGCUAGAACUUGUCUAUAUCAACUGCCUCGUGACUCCUUAUAAUUUUCAGCCAAAAUAAUUUGUUGGGUACUCGCUGUUUUUGGUGCUUGCCACAUCUCCAAGAACCAAUUAACAAUGAAUAAUGUGGUUUCACUGUAUUUUUAAAACAGCUUCUACAAGCAAAGGCAAAACCUACAAACUAAGUCUCAAAUCCAAGCAUCACCAUUGGUUUGUAUUUUUAGUUUGGUAGCUUUUUCUUCCCUUUGCUUUGAAGUAUUUUGGGUUUGUUUUUUUUUUAAUUCUAGGAGAAGGCCCAAAUUGGAUAAGUUUAGGUGUAGAAAUAAAACACAUGUUCUAACAAUUUUGGAGAGAUAGAUGAAUCUCUUGGGAUAUGAGAUUUCACAAAAUAUUUUAAAUUAUUUUUCAAAUAAUAUGGGUUUGGCAAAAACAAAAUGAUUUUCUAAAAAAGUUCCCUCCUUAACAUUCAAAUGGUCUCAAUGGAAAUGUAAUAUACAUAUUUCUAGCUCUCUUCACAUAACUCAGUAUUAUUUAAUAGGAAUUGGUUGAUGUUUAACAAUCCAGUGAGUACUUGACCUAUUUUUGGACAAUAAAACUACCUUCUGAGAA
ensembl:lncRNA